rnacentral:rRNA from 1 species
GACGAACGCUGGCGGCGUGCCUAAUACAUGCAAGUCGAGCGAAGUUUUUCUGGUGCUUGCACUAGAAAAACUUAGCGGCGAACGGGUGAGUAACACGUAAAGAAUCUGCCUCAUAGACUGGGACAACUAUUGGAAACGAUAGCUGAUACCGGAUAACAGUAUUUCUCGCAUGGGAGAUAUUUAAAAGUUGGUUAUGCUAACACUAUGAGAUGGCUUUGCGGUGCAUUAGCUAGUUGGUGGGGUAAAGGCCCACCAAGGCGACGAUGCAUAGCCGACCUGAGAGGGUGAUCGGCCACACUGGGACUGAGACACGGCCCAGACUCCUACGGGAGGCAGCAGUAGGGAAUCUUCCGCAAUGGGCGAAAGCCUGACGGAGCAACGCCGCGUGAGUGAAGAAGGAUUUCGGUUCGUAAAGCUCUGUUGUUAGGGAAGAAUGGAUAUGUAGUAACUAUACAUGUAAGAGACGGUACCUAACCAGAAAGCCACGGCUAACUACGUG